GAUGAACGCUGGCGGCGUGCCUAAUACAUGCAAGUCGAGCGAACAGAUGAGGAGCUUGCUCCUCUGACGUUAGCGGCGGACGGGUGAGUAACACGUGGAUAACCUACCUAUAAGACUGGGAUAACUUCGGGAAACCGGAGCUAAUACCGGAUAAUAUAUUGAACCGCAUGGUUCAAUAGUGAAAGACGGUUUUGCUGUCACUUAUAGAUGUAUCCGCGCCGCAUUAGCUAGUUGGUAAGGUAACGGCUUACCAAGGCAACGAUGCGUAGCCGACCUGAGAGGGUGAUCGGCCACACUGGAACUGAGACACGGUCCAGACUCCUACGGGAGGCAGCAGUAGGGAAUCUUCCGCAAUGGGCGAAAGCUUGACGGAGCAACGCCGCGUGAGUGAUGAAGGUCUUCGGAUCGUAAAACUCUGUUAUUAGGGAAGAACAAAUGUGUAAGUAACUAUGCACGUCUUGACGGUACCUAAUCAGAAAGCCACGGCUAACUACGUG
rnacentral:rRNA from 1 species